rnacentral:rRNA from 1 species
AACGAACGCUGGCGGCAGGCUUAACACAUGCAAGUCGAACGGGCGUAGCAAUACGUCAGUGGCGGACGGGUGAGUAACACGUGGGAAUAUGCCUUUCGGUUCGGAACAACUCGGGGAAACUCGUGCUAAUUCCGGAUACGCCCUUACGGGGAAAGAUUUAUCGCCGAAGGAUUAGCCCGCGUUGGAUUAGCUAGUUGGUGAGGUAAUGGCCCACCAAGGCGACGAUCCAUAGCUGGUUUGAGAGAACGACCAGCCACACUGGGACUGAGACACGGCCCAGACUCCUACGGGAGGCAGCAGUGGGGGAAUCUUGGACAAUGGAGGAAACUCUGAUCCAGCCAUGCCGCGUGAGUGAUGAAGGCCUU